rnacentral:rRNA from 1 species
GACGAACGCUGGCGGCGUGCUUAACACAUGCAAGUCGAACGAGUGGCGAACGGGUGAGUAACACGGGGGUGACCUGCCCUGCACUUCGGGAUAAGCCUGGGAAACUGGGUCUAAUACCGGACAGUGUGGGCUGGGCCCGCGGCCUAUUAGCGUGUUGGUGGGGUAAUGGCUACCAAGGCGCGACGGGUAGCCGGCCUGAGAGGGUGGACGGCCACAUUGGGACUGAGACACGGCCCAGACCCCUACGGGAGGCAGCCGUGGGGAAUAUUGCACAAUGGGCGCAAGCCUGAUGCAGCCAUGCAGCGUGUAUGAAGAAGGCCUUCGGGUUGUAAAGUACUUUCAGCGAGGAGGCGUUACUCGCAGAAGAAGCAUCGGCUAACUCCGUGCCAGCAGCCGCGGUAAUUC